rnacentral:rRNA from 1 species
CACGUAGGGUGCAAGCGUUGUCCGGAAUUAUUGGGCGUAAAGGGCUCGUAGGCGGUCCGUCACGUCGGGAGUGAAAACUCGGGGCUCAACCCCGAGCCUGCUUCCGAUACGGGCGGACUAGAGGUAGGUAGGGGAGAACGGAAUUCCUGGUGUAGCGGUGGAAUGCGCAGAUAUCAGGAGGAACACCGGUGGCGAAGGCGGUUCUCUGGGCCUUACCUGACGCUGAGGAGCGAAAGCAUGGGGAGCGAACAGG